rnacentral:rRNA from 1 species
GGAUGCGGUAACUCUGACCGUAAUAAAGUAGCAUAAUUAAUUGUCAUUUAAUUGGUGAAGAGAAUGAAUGGUUAUACGAAUUUUUCACUGUCUUGAAAGAAAUUUUUUAAAAUUGAAAUAAUAGUAAAGAUGCUAUUUAAAAUUGUAAGACGAAGAGACCCUAUAGAGCUUUACUAUAAACUUUUUGAAUUAAAAAUAAUAAAAAUUUAUUUAUUUAAAAAAGUUUGGUAGUUUAGUUGGGGCGACUGUUUUUUAAAAAAAACAAAAACAUGCAAAGUAAUAAAUUUAUUUAUUGUAUAAUUAAAAUAUUUAACAAUUAUUAUAGUAGGCUAUAGUGACCCGUUAAUUUAAUAAAAUUUAGUUAACGAUUAAUUAAUAAAAGUUACCUUAGGGAUAACAGGA